rnacentral:snoRNA from 1 species
GAAAAUGAUGAAUAGUUUGUCGCCCCAGUCUUACACACACUCAAGUGGUGUGGCAUGGUGAUCGACAUUUCUAUCUGAUUC